UCCUACGGGGGGCAGCAGUCGGGAAUAUUGCGCAAUGGAGGAAACUCUGACGCAGUGACGCCGCGUAUAGGAAGAAGGUUUUCGGAUUGUAAACUAUUGUCGUGAGGGAAGAAGAUGACAGUACCUCAGGAGGAAGCUCCGGCUAACUAUGUGUCAGCAGCCGCGGUAAUACAUAGGGAGCAAGCGUUAUCCGGAAUUAUUGGGUGUAAAGGGAGCGUAGACGGCCAUGCAAGUCUGAUGUGAAAACCCGGGGCUCAACCCCGGGACUGCAUUGGAAACUGUGCGGCUGGAGUGUCGGAGAGGCA
rnacentral:rRNA from 1 species